rnacentral:lncRNA from 1 species
UUUGUCAAACUUCAUCAAGCUCGAUUUUAGAGGCACUUAUUCUUUCACCAAGAAAUUUUUUUUCCAAAAAAUGUGCCUACUACUGACAAACACCUUUUGUUCAGUAGACAGAUAAAAAUAAUAUCCCCUCAUUUUCUUGGGGUACCCUAUGAAAUUACACCUAUCGGACUUAGGACUGAGCUUGUCAGUUUGUAAUCAUUUAACAUAAGCUGAACACCCCC